UACGUAGGGUGCGAGCGUUAAUCGGAAUUACUGGGCGUAAAGCGUGCGCAGGCGGUUUUGUAAGCCAGAUGUGAAAUCCCCGGGCUUAACCUGGGAAUGGCAUUUGGGACUGCAAGGCUCGAGUGCGGCAGAGGGGGAUGGAAUUCCGCGUGUAGCAGUGAAAUGCGUAGAUAUGCGGAGGAACACCGAUGGCGAAGGCAAUCCCCUGGGCCUGCACUGACGCUCAUGCACGAAAGCGUGGGGAGCAAACAGG
rnacentral:rRNA from 1 species